UACGUAGGAGGCAAGCGUUGUCCGGAAUUAUUGGGCGUAAAGCGCGCGCAGGCGGCCCCUUAAGUCUGAGGUGAAAGUCUCCUGCUCAACCGGAGAGGGCCAAUGGAAACUGGGAGGCUUGAGUAUAGGAGAGAAGAGUGGAAUUCCACGUGUAGCGGUGAAAUGCGUAGAGAUGUGGAGGAACACCAGUGGCGAAGGCGACUCUUUGGCCUAUAACUGACGCUGAGGCGCGAAAGCGUGGGGAGCAAACAGG
rnacentral:misc_RNA from 1 species